rnacentral:lncRNA from 1 species
CCAUCCUUGCUUUUGCCCCGCACGCCCCUCGAAGCACACCACUUUUCUCUUUCUCCCAGCCCUUUGUAUUAUAGAUCCUUCCCCUUCCUCCUCGUUCUCACCCCGAAGCCUUUCACCUCCGGCUCUGCCUUCUCCCGAAGCCUCUCCACUCCGGUCGAAGCCCUUCACCUCCGGCUUCACCUUCGCCCGAAGCCCGUCACGUCCGGACCAAGCCCUUCUACACCCGCCCGAAGCCCUUCACCGCCGCCCGAACCCCUCCACCUCCGGCUUCACCUCCGCCCGAAGCCCUUCACAUCCACCCAAAUCCCUUCUUCCUCCUCGCGUUUGACAUACCCACACGUCCGGAUUUACCUUCUCACGGUUUAUCUGCCCGGUCUACUUCUGCCCGAAGCCCUUCACCGUCGGCCGAACCCCUUCACCUACGGCUUCACCUCCGCCCGAAGCCCUUCACCUCCACCCAAAGCCCUUCUUCCUCCUCGCGUCCGACAUACCCACACGUCCGGAUCUACCUUCUCACGGUUUAUCUGCGCGAUCUACACGGCCGAUUUGUUGGUUUCUUCGUGGAUUUGUGGAUUUC